rnacentral:rRNA from 1 species
UGCAGUCGAGCGGACCGACGGGAGCUUGCUCCCUUAGGUCAGCGGCGGACGGGUGAGUAACACGUGGGUAACCUGCCUGUAAGACUGGGAUAACUCCGGGAAACCGGGGCUAAUACCGGAUGCUUGAUUGAACCGCAUGGUUCAAUUAUAAAAGGUGGCUUUUAGCUACCACUUACAGAUGGACCCGCGGCGCAUUACCUAGUUGGUGAGGUAACGGCUCACCAAGGCGACGAUGCGUACCCAACCUGAAAGGGUGAUCGGCCACACUGGGACUGAAACACGGCCCAAACUCCUACGGGAGGCAGCAGUAGGGAAUCUUCCGCAAUGGACGAAAGUCUGACGGAGCAACGCCGCGUGAGUGAUGAAGGUUUUCGGAUCGUAAAACUCUGUUGUUAGGGAAAAACAAGUACCGUUCGAAUAGGGCGGUACCUUGACGGUACCUAACCAGAAAGCCACGGCUAACUACGUGCCAGCAGCCGCGGUAAUACGUAGGUGGCAAGCGUUGUCCGGAAUUAUUGGGCGUAAAGCGCGCGCAGGCGGUUUCUUAAGUCUGAUGUGAAAGCCCC